GUCUGCUUCACUUAUGGCUACUGGCAGUGUAGUUGGUUUCGUCGGUUUGGAUGAUAUCAGCUUGGAAUUGGCUACUUCACUUCUUCGUUCGGGUUACUCUCUUCAAGCAUUCGAGGCAGGAAGUCCUUUGGUUGAUAAGUUCUUAAAGCUAGGUGGUAAAGUAUGUGCCAACCCUACUGAGGCAAGGAAAGGUGUAGCUGCAUUGGUCAUAUUGUUAUCUCAUGCUGAUCAAAUAAAUGAUUUAAUUCUGGGCGACAAGGGUGUUUUAAACGGAUUAAGCAAAGACACGGUCAUCAUUUUCCAUUCAAAUGUAUUACCUUCCCAGAUUCAGAAGCUGGAGUUGGCUCUAAGAGAUUGUUAUGGCACAAACUUCAUUGUUGAUAUAUAUGUCUCAAAAGCAGUAUCAGAUGUUCUGAAUGAUAAAACUAUGAUUAUUUCCUCUGGAAGUUCGGAGUCCAUUGUUAGAGCACAGCCCAUUCUUUCUGACAUGUGUGCAAAGCU
rnacentral:misc_RNA from 1 species